rnacentral:rRNA from 1 species
AACGCACCUUGCGCUCCUCGGUCUUCCGAGGAGCAUGCCUGUUUGAGUGCCCAGAAAUUCACUCAACCCUACAUCUUUUUUGUUGUGAGGUUGGAAAGGUGGGGGUUUAUCUUGUUGUCACUCAUUAGAGUGGUGACUCCCCUCAAAUGUGUUAGCUGGCCUUGUAUGGGGUCCUGCCACUGGCUUGAUAUAUUCGUACGUCGACGCCGCAGGUGGACCUUGGGUGGGCUGCUCACAGCCGUCCUCUUCUGGACAAUAUUUUUGAGCUUGGGCCUCAAAUCAGGUAGGAUUACCCGCUGAACUUAA